rnacentral:lncRNA from 1 species
GGAAAACUGUCGUAAAAGGGGACGCGGAGGAGAAGGAAAGUCGCUCAAGCAGUGGACAGAGCGGAGAAAGCGACUUCGGUUCAGCCUGAGAAAACUCCUGAGCAUGUGCGAAAAAGAAAAGAAGAAAAGAAAAGUAAAGAAAAGAAAAAAGGAAAAAGGGCAAGCUCCUGAGUGGAUCUCUCAGGGAGCCACCAGACAGCCGCAGAGAGAAGAAGCUGCCCAAGAAUGGAAAGGAAGAAAUAUAUCACAUCAUCUGUCUGUCCACAGGCUUUCCUUGGGGCUUAUGAAGUGAAUGAAGGAGGGAAGAAAGGAGAGACAGAGAAAAUAUGGGAAGUAUGCAGCUGGCAUCAGAAGCUGGAAGAUAGGAUCUUCCCGGAUCACAGCUCCUGUUCAGAAAGUCUGAGGAUGUCAGACUGAGACUGUUGAGUCUGAGGAUGUCAGACUGAGAUUGUUGAGUCUCAGGAUGUUGCAGGACAGGAUGGAUGAAGAAUGCUAGUCCUGGCAGUUGGGGCCUAAGGCCAGGGCCCUUUUUUAUCACUUUCUUGUGUUGCCUCUCUGCCCAAGAAAAAAUCUGUCUCUUGCAUACAGCUCCUCUAAUACGUGUCCAUUAGAAGGAAGGAGUUUCUUUAAUGAGCUCUAUGGUUUUAUCUUGCUCAUAACAGCUUAGUUUAAUGCCACUGAAACUGUAACAUUUUUUUGUGCCUAAUAUCAACUGACAAAUAUAAAGUUAUUCCUAAUUUAUUAAUUCAAAUGAUAUAUUGCAAAAUAAAAUCUGCUUAAUAUGAAAAGAAGUAAU